rnacentral:misc_RNA from 1 species
AAGUCGUAACAAGGUUUCCGUAGGUGAACCUGCGGAAGGAUCAUUACCGAGUUAGGGUUUCGUCCGACGAGCCCGACCUCCCAACCCUUUGUCUAUUAUACCUUGUCGUUGCUUCGGCGGACCGGUCGCGACCAACUGGUCGUGGCCGCCGGGGCCCAUCCCUGGAAAGCGUCCGCCGACGGCCCAACCACAAACUCUUGUACCAAACCAUGUCGUCUGAAUGUACUUGAUUAAAAUCAAAAACAAAACUUUCAACAACGGAUCUCUUGGUUCUG